UGAAGGCCACUGAGAAAGUGGGUCUGUUAUAAACAACAGAGGCUGUUUCAAGAACAACAUAAUGGAGCCAGAACAAACCAGAUGAGAAAUAAAAAGAGUGCAGAGAUUAUAAAACAAAAACAACAACAAGUUUAUGCACAAAUAUUUCAGACAGUGGAAAGAAGCUACGGCUUAAAUCAAGCUCAGAAAUCUCAUUCAAAUAAUAUAUCAGGAACUAUGCACCAAAAAGACUCGAGAAACGAACAACAUGAACCUGACAAGACUUCUGUUCCUGACAUGUCUGCCCCGUCCUGGGUCCAUUUCACUCUAGACAGAAAAGCUUUGAUGAGCUGUUUUGAUUUCUAAAUCCCACAGGGAUAAUAAGAUUUAAUCCUAGCACUUGGAGAUUUUAAUGAAAUGUAUUAUUUCAGUUGGUUUACAUGAAUUUUGAUGUAAUUGGGCAGGACUGCUGAAUGGUAAUUAGAACUUUUGACGAGUUAUGAAGUUGUGAUGAAGAUUUAGAAAAUGCCUUUCUUCUGCUGUUGAAAUCUGAUAAAAACAAGAUAAAGUCAUAAAGUGUUACUAGAAGUAAUUUUUAUAUUUAGUCUUCUAACAAAAAAAA
rnacentral:misc_RNA from 1 species